UCCCGGUUGAUUACUACACAUUAAUGAUAAUACAAGCAGAUUCCAGUCUGUAUGUAAAAUAGUAAAUACGAAACCAAGCGCGGUAGAUGGAGAAAUGUAAUGUAAAGUAAAUACGAACCAAGCGCGGUAGGCAGAGAAAUGUAAUGGAAGUUCAGGUCAGCAGUAUCGGAAACAUGCCGCUGAAAGCGUCAUUUUCCAAAAACCAAUUGUUGGCAUGACACGGGUUAUGUUCUUUUCAUAUAUCAUGUAUAUGUUAUGAUGGUAUGAUACAAAACCCCUCACGAGAAGGAUUUGCCUGAUAUUCAUAUGAUGAAGACAUAAUCUUUCAAUCAGUUUAAUUGAAGUCUGGAGUUGGCAUGUCAGUUAACUGCUGGUAGUCUGAUGUUAUUUAUGUAUUAUUGUCAUUUUGUUUAUUUUUUUU
rnacentral:lncRNA from 1 species